rnacentral:rRNA from 1 species
UACGGAGGGUGCAAGCGUUAUCCGGAUUCACUGGGUUUAAAGGGUGCGUAGGUGGGUUGGUAAGUCAGUGGUGAAAUCUCCAGGCUUAACUUGGAAACUGCCAUUGAUACUAUCAAUCUUGAAUACCGUGGAGGUCAGCGGAAUAUGUCAUGUAGCGGUGAAAUGCUUAGAUAUGACAUAGAAUACCAAUUGCGAAGGCAGCUGGCUACACGAAUAUUGACACUGAUGCACGAAAGCGUGGGGAUCAAACAGG